rnacentral:rRNA from 1 species
AUUGAACGCUGGCGGCAUGCCUAACACAUGCAAGUCGAGCGGAGCGGCGGACGGGUGAGGAAUGCCUAGGAAUCUGCCUGGUAGUGUGGGAUAACGUCCGUGACCGGGCGCUAAUCCCUCAUACUAUCAGAUGAGCCUAGGUCGGAUUAGCUAGUUGGUGGGUUACAGGCCUAACAAGGGGACGAUCCGUAACUGGUCUGAGAGGAUGAUCAGUCAGCCGGUAACUAGGACACGGUGCAGAGGCCUAGGGGCGGACGCGGUGGGGAAGAUGGGACAAUGGGACAAAGGCGGAUACAGCGAUGCAGCGUGGGUGAGGAAGGGAUUAGGAUUGUAGAGCACUUUAAGUUGGGAGGCGGUAGCAAGAGAAUAAGCACCGGCUAACUUCGUGCCAGCAGCCGCGGUAAUAC